AACGAACGCUGGCGGCAUGCCUAACACAUGCAAGUCGAACGAGACCUUCGGGUCUAGUCGCGCACGGGUGCGUAACGCGUGGGAACCUGCCCUGAGGUUCGGAAUAACUCCCCGAAAGGGGUGCUAAUACCGGAUAAUGUCUUCGGACCAAAGAUUUAUCGCCUUUGGAUGGGCCCGCGUUGGAUUCGCUAGUUGUUAGGGUAAAAGCCUACCACGGCGACGAUCCAUAGCUGGUCUGUGAGGAUGAGCAGCCACACUGGGACUGAGACACGGCCCAGACUCUUACGGGAGGGAGCAGUGGGUGAUAUUGGAAAGUGGGCGAAAGGCUGAUGCAGCAAUGCUGGGUGAGUGAUGAAGGUCUUAGGGUUGUAAAGCUCUUUUACCCGGGAUGAUAAUGACAGUACCGGGAGAAUAAGCACCGGCUAACUCCGUG
rnacentral:rRNA from 1 species